GCUCCCGUGGCCUAGUGGUUAGAGUGUCCGCCUCGGAUGCGGGAGGUCGUGGAUUAGAUCCCCGGCUGAGUCCU